rnacentral:rRNA from 1 species
CAGCACCUCAAGUGGUCAGGAUGAUUAUUGGGCCUAAAGCAUCCGUAGCCGGCUCUGUAAGUUUUCGGUUAAAUCUGUACGCUCAACGUACAGGCUGCCGGGAAUACUGCAGAGCUAGGGAGUGGGAGAGGUAGACGGUACUCGGUAGGAAGGGGUAAAAUCCUUUGAUCUAUUGAUGACCACCUGUGGCGAAGGCGGUUUACCAGAACACGUCCGACGGUGAGGGAUGAAAGCUGGGGGAGCAAACCGGAUUAGAUACCCGAGUAGUCC